UCGUCAGCCAGAUAGACUGUUCCGUCUUCAAAGCGAUAAGGUUACCACAUUCGUAUCUUCUAUCAUUUUUACCCUUUCAACGUUGCUCUAAUCAAUUUCACGAAAUUCGAUCAGAUACCAUUCGUUCUUCGAUUCGUUUCAUCAAUUUUUCAUUAUCAUCAGAGCGUAGGAUCGAAAUCAAGGGAGGAAAGAAAUGAAGGGGUUGAAAAGCUGCGAGAAGGAUCGUAUCCCUUUAAGCAAUCAAGGAGGAAGCGGUUACUCAUCGUUCAACGAUCUUCGCUGAAUGAGACCAGCCAAGUCAGCAUCGAGGAAGAAUACCGCUUGAAUGAGCUGCUCGGAGCGAAACACGGAUCAAAGAGUAUUGGAAGAGAAGAAUGGUAGACAAAAGAAGAAGAAGAAGGAGAGAAACGAGUGAAACAACGUGUAGCGGAUCUUCUACGCAGGUAUAUACGUAAUGUACACGUACGUGCGGGUCGCGUGUAGGGAUACUCACGUAAUGUAGGCCUGUUCCCGGAGGUACCGUAAGACCUUGCUGUUACGUCACUAGAAGCCACAUGAUUAGGAGAAAAAGGAUACCGACGAGAAGGGAGAACAGAAAACAGGAACCGUACCCUCGGGCUGCACGCAUCUUCCUACUCCGUUCACCGAUAUUUCUUCAUACUAAUUAAUUCCCUUUGUCUUUCAUUUUUCUUCAAUUUUCUUCAAUUUUCUAAUAUUUUAUUAAUGGUAUUGUACGUUUCAAUCAUUUUUCAGUGAUCGCAAGUGGAGAAGACUUUAACAGUUUCUUGGAGUAAUUAAGAAAUGCAAGACUUUUCAACAUAAAAUUUUUGAAAAUUUUUUAAUAGUUCUUCGAAGUUCAGAAAAAUGAAAUUAAAUGAUUUUGAACACAAUAUUCACGUAAUUAAAGUUUCUAAUAAUUUCCAAUAAUUGCAAUUAAUAAGAUAGAGGGUUAUUUGAUUUUUGGAGCAACAGAACAAAAUCUGAAAGUGACCAUCCGUGUCUAAAAUAAGACACACAAGUGGGAAGUUGUAAUCGCAUUUCUGCAGAGGUUGCAGUAAAUUUAGAGGUGCGAAUUGGGCUAAGAGAUCGCGAGCUGAACUGUGUGUGCAAACAAACCUAACCCACUUCAAUUUCCAUCCAUUUCUCGCUUAAUGUCUCCAUCUAAUGUAUUUACAAAAACCUUGAUCCUUUUAAUCCUGUUAUCCUCUACAAACAUAAAUUAGUGCCUAAAUAAAAUAUUCAUCAAGAGACCCGUAACCCUAGGUUAUCCUUUUUGUGACAACACUCUAAUAUGCAAAUUUA